GAAUAAAUUUUAGAAUUGGGGUUCAAUUUUCAGAAUUAUGUUUUUACUUUUAAAAAAAUUCUACUGUUCAUCGCUUUUUCGGCAACUUUUCGGCCAGUCACCAUCCUAAAGCCCCUUUCAUUUUUUUUAAUAUUUUUCCAUCCAAGCUAACAACCAGUAUGCUGCGGCUGCCCAACUUCUUCUUCCUUCAUCACCGUUUCGAGCAGCCAACAACUUCACCACCAUCGGAGUUACAAGACCACCGAAACCCUCUCCAAACCAGUUCCAAAACUCCCUUCCUUUUUCCGUUACAAUUUUCAGCUAAGAAACCACCGGAAACACACCUAUUUUCACCACCAGUGACCACCAGACACCACCACAAGCUCGAACCACCAAGCUCCGGCAAAGAGCACCCAAUGUACAGUUCCCCUCCCCCUUUCCCUCUUACGAUUCUCCUCUAUUUGCAGGUAUUCAGUGAAUCUCUAAACUCCAGCGAGAAUGAACAAACAAGAACAACUAAAAUUUCUAAAUCUGCCUGAAUUUUCUAUUUUUCCGGUACUCAAGACUUGCUUCCUUGAAGUUAUUCAAAGGAGUUCGAAUUAUAUUUUUAAUUCAUUAUUUUGUAUAUAUAUCGAUGUUAGUCAAAUUUUAGACCGGUAUUAUUAUUUUA